rnacentral:rRNA from 1 species
CCUACGGGAGGCAGCAGUAGGGAAUCUUCCACAAUGGGCGCAAGCCUGAUGGAGCAACACCGCGUGAGGGAAGAAGGGUUUCGGCUCGGAAAGCUCUGUUGUUGGAGAAGAACGUGCGUGAGAGUAACUGUUCACGCAGUGACGGUAUCCAACCAGCAAGUCACGGCUAACUACGUGCCGGCAGCCGCGGUAAUACGUAGGUGGCAAGCGUUAUCCGGAUUUAUUGGGCGUAAAGCGAGCGCGGGCGGUUGCUUAGGUCUGAUGGGAAAGCCUUCGGCUUAACCGAAGAAGUGCAUCGGAAACCGGGCGACUUGAGUGCAGAAGAGGACAGUGGAACUCCAUGUGUAGCGGUGGAAUGCGUAGAUAUAUGGCAGAACACCAGUGGCGAAGGCGGCUGUCUGGUCUGCAACUGACGCUGAGGCUCGAAAGCAUGGGUAGCGAACAGGAUUAGAUACCCUUGUAGUC